CGGCGAGUGAAGCGGCAAGAGCUCAAAUUUGAAAGCUGGCUCCUUCGGGGUCCGCAUUGUAAUUUGCAGAGGAUGCUUCGGGAGCGGUCCCCAUCUAAGUGCCCUGGAACGGGCCGUCAUAGAGGGUGAGAAUCCCGUCUGGGAUGGGGUGCCCGCGCCCGUGUGAAGCUCCUUCGACGAGUCGAGUUGUUUGGGAAUGCAGCUCUAAUUGGGUGGUAAAUUUCAUCUAAAGCUAAAUAUUGGCCGGAGACCGAUAGCGCACAAGUAGAGUGAUCGAAAGAUGAAAAGCACUUUGAAAAGAGAGUUAAACAGCACGUGAAAUUGUUGAAAGGGAAGCGCUUGCGAUCAGACUCGCCCGCGGGGUUCAGCCGGCAUUCGUGCCGGUGUACUUCCCCGUGGGCGGGCCAGCGUCGGUUUGGGCGGCCGGUCAAAGGCCCCUGGAAUGUAACGCCUCUCGGGGCGUCUUAUAGCCAGGGGUGCCAUGCGGCCUGCCCGGACCGAGGAACGCGCUUCGGCUCGGACGCUGGCAUAAUGGUCGUAAGCGACCCGUCUUGAAACACGGACCAAGGAGUCUAACAUCUACGCGAGUGUUCGGGUGUCAAACCCGUGCGCGCAGUGAAAGCGAACGGAGGUGGGAACCCCCCGGGGUGCACCAUCGACCGAUCCUGAUGUCUUCGGAUGGAUUUGAGUAAGAGCGUAGCUGUUGGGACCCGAAAGAUGGUGAACUAUGCCUGAAUAGGGCGAAGCCAGAGGAAACUCUGGUGGAGGCUCGCAGCGGUUCUGACGUGCAAAUCGAUCGUCAAAUUUGGGUAUAGGGGCGAAAGACUAAUCGAACCAUCUAGU
rnacentral:rRNA from 1 species